UAAUUUUACUUUUGAAGGUGCCUGUGAAAAGAAACCACAUACUUCAGGGAAGAGUUAACACAUUGCACUGAUUCAAUCAACAAGGAUCAUCUUAGCUGGUUGGCUCUUUGUGAGGAAAUGGGCAUGGUGUAACCCAAGUAAAGCAAGUUCAUCUGCUGAAU